rnacentral:lncRNA from 13 species
GUGGUUUUCAGGGGAGUGUGCCCAGCGCUCGCUGCCUGUCUGCAGCUGGGCAGAGCAGCCCCUCUUCCGCGUCCAGCUCCACCUGGCUGCCCUGCCACGGCCCCAGCGGGCAACCCCCUUGUCCUUGACGCCCCUUACUGCCUGCUGCAGCUGGGUGACCUCCCUCCAAUAGGAGCUUGACAGUAGCUUUUUCGAUCCGUAGGAAGAUGCCAAGAGCGGAGCUGAGAGUGCAGCACAAGGACCUCUGAGAAGUCUUGUCUUCCUCCAAGCAGUGAGAAAAGUGGCGGGAAGAAAUAGAAAAUCUGAUCCUAAAAUUCAUGUGGAAUUGCAAGAGGCCUCAGAGAGCCAAAACUACCUAAUGAAAGAACUAAGAUGGAAGACUUACAUGUCCCGAUUUCAAAACUUACUACAAAGCUAUAGUAAUCAAGGCAGUAUGGUACUGGCUUAAGGCCAGGUAUAGAGACAAUAGAACAGAAUUGAAAGUCCAGAAAUAAACCCUUACUUUUAUGGUGAACUGGUUUCA